rnacentral:rRNA from 1 species
CGGACGGGUGAGUAACGCGUGGGUAACCUGCCUUAUACAGGGGGAUAACAGUUAGAAAUGACUGCCAAUACCGCAUAAGCGCACAGGAUUGCAUGAUCUGGUGUGAAAAACUCCGGUGGUAUAAGAUGGACCCGCGUCUGAUUAGCUGGUUGGCAGGGCAACGGCCUACCAAGGCGACGAUCAGUAGCCGACCUGAGAGGGUGACCGGCCACAUUGGGACUGAGACACGGCCCAAACUCCUACGGGAGGCAGCAUG